rnacentral:tRNA from 1 species
AAUAAAGUGCCUGAUAAAAGGGUUAUUUUGAUAGAAUAAAUUAUAUAAUUUAAUUAUCUUUAUUA